GAUGAACGCUGGCGGCGUGCCUAAUACAUGCAAGUCGAACGGGGAGUCGCAAUACUCUUAGUGGCGAACGGGUGAGUAACGCGUUGGUACCUGCCCCGAAGCGGGGGAUAACGGACCGAAAGGUCCGCUAAUACCCCAUGUGCUCGGUAACGAGUAAAGGUGAAAACCACUUUGGGAGGGGCCUGCGUCCCAUCAGCUAGUUGGUAAGGUAACGGCUUACCAAGGCGAUGACGGGUAGGGGAACUGAGAGGGUGGCCCCCCACAAUGGAACUGAAACACGGUCCAUACACCUACGGGUGGCAGCAGUAGGGAAUAUUGGUAAUGGGCGCAAGCCUGAACCAGCAACGCCGCGUGUGCGAUGACGGCCUUCGGGUUGUAAAGCACUUUUGACUGGGACGAGGAAGGACGGUACCGGUCGAAUCAGCCUCGGCUAACUACGUG
rnacentral:rRNA from 1 species